rnacentral:rRNA from 1 species
UUAGAGUUUGAUCCUGGCUCAGGACGAACGCUGGCGGCGUGCCUAAUACAUGCAAGUCGAGCGGACCGAUGGGAGCUUGCUCCCUUAGGUCAGCGGCGGACGGGUGAGUAACACGUGGGUAACCUGCCUGUAAGACUGGGAUAACUCCGGGAAACCGGGGCUAAUACCGGAUGCUUGAUUGAACCGCAUGGUUCAAUCAUAAAAGGUGGCUUUUAGCUACCACUUACAGAUGGACCCGCGGCGCAUUAGCUAGUUGGUGAGGUAACGGCUCACCAAGGCGACGAUGCGUAGCCGACCUGAGAGGGUGAUCGGCCACACUGGGACUGAGACACGGCCCAGACUCCUACGGGAGGCAGCAGUAGGGAAUCUUCCGCAAUGGACGAAAGUCUGACGGAGCAACGCCGCGUGAGUGAUGAAGGUUUUCGGAUCGUAAAACUCUGUUGUUAGGGAAGAACAAGUACCGUUCGAAUAGGGCGGUACCUUGACGGUACCUAACCAGAAAGCCACGGCUAACUACGUGCCAGCAGCCGCGGUAAUACGUAGGUGGCAAGCGUUGUCCGGAAUUAUUGGGCGUAAAGCGCGCGCAGGCGGUUUCUUAAGUCUGAU